UAAGAAAUUGACCUCAAUUUAUUAAUGGGCAUGAGAAUGGGCUUUAUGUUGGGCUAAAGAUGAGAUUGCAAUCCUAAGACCUUCUUCUCCACCACCGUGUCCAAUGUCCAUCACGAGAAUGCACAAGCUUCCGAUGAUCUUCUUCUUCAUCGCUUAUCGAUCUUAACCAGUUACCUACUGAUUCUGAGACAUCUUCAGUUGCUAUCUUCUUCAUGCUUCAUCGCCGCUGAUUCCAAAUUUCCAAGACGAAAACACUACAAAACCCUAGUUCUGAAAUUUGUUCUUCUUCACUCGUACUCUUUGAUGACAAGAUGGCUGGGUCCGAGAAGACACAGACGAAAGAGCCAGUAAACCCUAAUUUCCCAUGUUCUAUGUCUUUGUGCCUAACAGAGAACACAAGCCGCAAGAGACGUGAUGUGGA